ensembl:snoRNA
GUUGAGGUCUAUCCCAAUGGGGCUUUUUUCUAUAAAACCUACAUUGUUGGAAAUGCCUCAGAGAGUAACGUGUAGUUUCCUUUACUCACAGAACUACCUGUUAGGUCUGUGGGAAAGAGCUACAAGAGACAG